AUGCCAGCUGGGGAGGAGGAGGGAGUGCUCAGUGUCAGGGUCCCAGCUGGGGAGGAGGAGGGAGUGCUCAGAGUCAGGGUCCCAGCCAGGGAGGGAGCACUCAGGGUCCCAGCUAGGGAGGGAGCACUCAGGGUUCCAGCUGGGGAGAGGGAGGGAGCACUCAGUGUCUCAGCCGGGGAGGGAGCACUCUGGGCUGUGCUUGGGUUUGCAGUGUUUCCUGAGGGAGGAGUGGAGGGGAGCGGUGUGGUCAGGCUCGUCUCUCUGUGGCUGCCAACAGACCAAGCGUUUCGCUGGGAGGACGCUGACGGAACAUUCAGACCGAAGGGGAAGCGAAUGAGAGUCAGGGGUCAGAGCCGACGAGUGGGGGAGGUAGGGGCAGGGAGCCACCAGGAGGGCCCCAGAUUCCAGCGUGGCAACCCCCCUCCGGACACUCAGGGACAGGACGGCUGUCGGGGGCGCCUGGUUUCCUGCCCCUGCGCACGUCGGGCAGAGCUGCUCGGCAAACAGAGGGGUCACGGGGUCAUGAGGCAGCAGGGCAGCCUGGGAAGUCCAGCAGAGCCACAGGCCCACAGAACCGGCGCCCAAAGAAGCCCACGGCAGCCUGGGCGGAGGCAAGACUCCGGAGAUCUCUGGAGGAGAAGCAGGAAGCCAGUGGUGAGAACCGUGGCGGCCAAGGCCGGGGAGAGGGGCACGUGGUGGGGCGAGAGGGCUCUGUGGCAGGGAGGCUGAGGAGCCAGCCGCUUUAAAGAUUUAUGUAUUCACGUAUGGGAAAGGCAGAGAGGCAGGGCUGGGGGAGGUCGUCCCUGGGCUGGUUCAGUCCCCAUGGGGACCACAUGGGGCCGGGCCAGGUUGAAGGUAGGACCCUGGCGCUCCAUCCUGGCCUCCGUGUGGGCGGCAGGGCCCGGGCAGGCAGGCAUCCGUCCUCUGCUGCUGCCCGGGAGCACCAGCAGGGAGCUGGCCCGGCAGGGCUCCUGACAGCGCUGUGGCAGCCACACCUGCUCC
rnacentral:lncRNA from 1 species